CCCCUUUUCUUUUGCAGCGGGAGAAGGGUAAAAUCAUAUUUACGAAAAUACCCCGCUUUUUAAGUGCGUUUUCCCUUGCUCUCCCGCCGUCGGCAUUAUGGUUUGGCAGCAGAGGCGAAAUCAAAGUAAUGGCAGAUCAUAAUUCAUUGUCGAAGAUCAGUCACUGCGAGCUCCUUUACCGAUCAAGGUCAUGGAAAACACAAAGAGGAAAUGAUCUUUGGCGGAAUAGAGGACUAAGAUAAAUGGCUUGCAGGAGGAAUUGCCGCCAUUCAACACAAUGCCUAGACUGUGUCUGCUAUGUACGGCAGGAUCAGGGUAUAUCAGAUCGAAGGAGGCUCCGGCCAAGGCUAUGCCUAAGGAUCUUGUGGAAAUGUGUCGCGGUGUUCAGCAUCCAAUUUGUGGAUUCUUUUCUCAGAAGUUACCUUGCUUAAGUCAGUAGAGAUAAAUUGCCUGAUACUGGUUCUGUGUUUGAAGGGAAAGAGUACUCAAGUCAACUAAGACUUUAUCCUAAAAUUUUGGGAUAAGCGCAAACUACCUAGGCGGCGGAGUAAAGAGUAUUUCCUUUUUUUUUUCGUUGCCCAGUGGAGUUGUUAAAAUCAGGGAUCGACAGCUUCAAUUAGAUGCUGACACAGCCAUGGAUGAUGUAGAAUUUGUGCUACAAAAUUUCACUGAGAUGAAUAAACUUUGGGUUCAGAUGCAGUAUCAGGUUUGUCGUAUACCAGUGAGCCCUUGUUACUAUGUUUUUGACAUGCAUAGCAAGACGGUACUUGCAUGCCAUACAGGUAAACAAAUCAUGAAAGCAUAAUUUUUGGCCAGGCCGGUGAUUUGGUGCUUCUGAUCAUUUAUACUCUUUGGUGAUCCUCAGUUGAGGUCUUCAAUUGGGCUUUCUGGUCUGCAGGGGCCUGGUCAGGUUAACUGUAAAGAUGAGAUUGCACAGUAUUAUUUGAUGGACUGCAUAAUUCAGGUUUUUCCAGAUGAGUACCACUUGCUGACUCUUGAUGCAUUAUUAGGGGCUUGCCCUCAGCUUCAGGCUAAUUAAUUGCUUAUAAAUACUACCAGGUUUUCCCAUGAGCUGUUUAUGGCUGCCAAUUUCAGCCACCCUCCCAUGUUGUAGCACAGCAAUGCUAUCUGCAUCACGAAUGGUGGACAAUCUGUGGGCUACCAUAACUGUUGUUC